CUAAAAGCUAGCUUUCUUUAAUCCUAGUGUGUUUUCCCCCAAUUUAGUCUUUUCUAAACAUUUACCUCUGGUUUAGAAUACAAAAUCUUAUAUCCUGAGAAUCACAGAAUACUCAAAAGAUGUCUUAUUGAAACUGGGGUGAUCGUAGGUUUUUAUUUGUCUUGUGCUUCCGGAAAUGAAUGAUAGUUUAGUUGAUAUUGGAAGUUAGUGUGUUUUUAUAUUUUUAGAGUGGGGAAACAUACUAAACUUUGAGGGGUUUUUUGGUUGCUGGUUUUUUACCAUAUGUUAUAUUACUAAAUUCCACUUUGAUACAGAAUUUAAAUUUUGCUACUUCUCAAAAUCAGUUAAGACUUUUCAGUUUUACCUGCCCAUCUUUACAUGGCUACUGUAAUGUAUGUUAACUCUGCAUAUGGCAAAUCCUGUACCGAAUUAUAUCAUCUUUCCUGAGUGCGUGUGUGUGUGUGUGUGUGUGUGUGCUUAUAGUAUGUAGGAAGAGGGUGAUGUUUAAAUACUUAUCAAAACAUGAGCUAAAAAAGAGGUAACUUGUAAUCCAUUGCUAUCUUUGUAUUCAAAAGCUGUUCAUUCCCAUGAUACUGGAUCUAUACUGGUUGUAGUGUUAUUUAUAGGCCUCACCUCAGUUGUUUGUAGUUUUAGCAGCCCUCCCCUCACAUUUUCCCACAGGAUUCCAUAAUUUGUAAUGUUAAGCUAACCCAUCUCUGUAUGGCACUUCUAAAAACUAUCUCUAAGUCAGGAAUAUAAGGUUAAGUAACCAGUAGAACAUGUUACAUAGUAAGUAUAACUAGCUUUUGAAGAUUAUAUCACCCCAAACCUUAUCUUUGCUCCUGCAUCUUGUAGAGCUCAAACAGAUGGACGCACAGCAGUCACAGCACGCUUGUUUAUGUAAGCACAUAGAUCCAUGACAGUUAAGUGCUGGUUUUCAAGUAUUAUGUUCAUUGCAGAGAGACGAUCUACAUGAAUGUAAUAGAAGGGGCACAUCAUACUAGGUUAUUAGGAAAGGUAAAAUUGGAAAUGUGGAAUUGUAGAAGAAAAACGUAUGCUUUGGAGAUCUGGAAAUAGAAAUCCAAGGAGUCUAGUUUGUUCCCUUAAUAGCAAGAGAUUGGAUACAUUAAACUACAGGUGGGGUCAGCUUCCACCCCAGGCUUGUGCCUUCCUGCAUCUUCUUGUUUUACAUAGAGAUCUCUUUAAGUUAAGUGUUGCUGUUAUUUGUGAACUUCUUACUAGCACAGGUUCCACUUAAAUGUUAAUACUCUUUGCCAUUCAUGUUUUCAUUUCAUUGAACAAGAGCUGUCAGCAGAGUUCUGGGUACGUAGAGGAUAUUGUGCUGCAUCAGUCUCACUGGGUGCAGAGCAGAGUCCCUUCUGAGCAUAGCAAAGUAAGGAAUGAAAGUUACGUGCUGAGUUUGUUGGAUUAUUGGUAGCCUGUUACUGAGUUGUAUUUUAAGAGUCUAUGCAACUAAAGCACCUGGACCCAUAAUCUGCAGUUGGACUGCUGAAUUCACGUAACCCCGAUUGGUUUCAUGGGAUUGUGCAGCUCAGGACACAUACCAUCACCGAGGACAGCAUUUUCUUCAGCUGAUUCUGCAAAACGAGAAUUUCAAAUUCUCUGCAAAUCUGAAUUUCAUACAUAAGAUGCAGCUCUUUUUCUCCCCUUUGCCUUUGUCAUUUCGUUUUUAUUGGAAUUAACUCUUUUGUAAAGAGCUUCUUCUCUCCCCCCUCUGACACUCCCAUUUGUACCGUUUUGUUUUUUAUUUUUUGGGUUCUUUGUCUUUUUUUUUUUUUUGCAUUCUUUUAUUUUGCACUUCAUUCUCUGCAUUAGUAAGUACUAAAUUAAAAGUGGCAGUCCAAAAGUAUGAUAAAUUUCCUCUUCUCCCUUUCCUUAUUGCCUACAUGUUCAAUAGCUAAUAAAAUAGUUGAUUAAUUUCUUUGAGUGCCUUUUUGGGGGUAUAUACUUUUUUUUUUAAUGUGCAUAUGUGAUUUUGAUAUGUUUUUAUUUUCUUUCACUUUGUAAACUUUUUCUGAUAGUGAAAUUCUGUCCUGUGAAAAAUCUCUUCCACCUGCCUAUAAUUGCCUGUGUGGGCAAUAGGUACAGAGUAGUUAUGUGAUGUUUCUUUUUUGGAAGUUGAUGGUGAUAUUGAGGGGAGAGCAGAGUAUGUUCUUUUUAAAAAUGUGUACAAGAUGUUUUUGCUGCUAUCUUGUGGGUGUCAUUUCAUUUUGCACUUAAUUCAUCUUUCCCAUGGAUAUGUAAAUAUCUAAUGAACUGUGGAGGUCCAGAAGUAGGACACAUGUCCCACUUACCCCUCUCCAUAUUGCCUGCAUGGACAGUAGCUAAUAGAGUAGCUGUGGGUGCUCUUGCCUUGAUCUAGUCUUGGGGGCUCGGGCUUGUAUAUCAUUCUUUCAGGUGUGUGUGUGUAUAUAUGUUAUGCUACUUUUUUACAUUUCAUUUUUAUAUGUCCCUUUGCAUGUAUGCAUAUAUACUUAAUGAAAAUUGAAGUUCAGAAUAUGACAGAUUUCCUCUUUUCUCUUUUCCUUAUUGCCUCCUUGGGCAGUAGCUAAUACUUUGUUUUGUUUUGUUUUGUUUUUGAGGGGGGAUGAGAAGUAGGGUAUGUACUUAAUGUAUAUAAAUAAGUUUGCUACUACUUUGUAUUACUUAAUUCAUUUCGUACGUUGUCCUUCUCAGAGGACAUUAAAGUACCUAAUGAGACGUGGAGGUCCGGAUGUAUGACAAUCUCCUCUUGUACCCUUCCCUUAUUGCCCGUGUGGGCAAUAGCUAGUAGAAUAGUUGUUGGAGUGGGGUUUGGGGGGAGGGUGGGGGUGGGGACAGGGAUGUGUACAUAUUGUAUAUACCUGUUUUUACUACCAAGUUGUAUUAUUUCAUUGGGUGCCCACACUGGCAGGUACCCAAUGAACCAUGGAGGUCCGGAUGUAUAACAAUCUCCUCUUCUCCCCUUCCCUUAUUGCCUGCAUGGGCAAUGGCUAGUAGAGUAGUUAAUUAGUUUCAGGGGUUCUUUUGUGGGCUCGGGGAUAAAUACUUUUAAAUAUAUAUAUACAUGUAUAUAUAUAUGUGUGUGUGUGCGCACACACACACACAUUUUUACUUCCUUAUUACAGUAUUUCACUGGGUACCCAGUCCUUCACUUGGACCCGUAGGUUCCUAAUGAACCGUGGAGCAAUCUCCUCUUCUCCCUUUCCCUUUUUUAUCUACAUAGGCAAUAAUUUUAAAGUAGUUCAGUUUUUUUGAAGUUUUGGUGUGUGGGAAGGGACAAAGGGCAGGAUAUAUACUUUUGAAAACUGUAUAUACAGUGUUUGUUACUAUAUUGUGUUAUUCCAUUUUGUACCGCGUCCCUUACUUGGACGUGUGGGUACCUAAUGAGACGUGGAGGUCCGGUUGUAUGAAAAUCUCCUCUUUUCCCCUUUCCUUAUUGCCUCUGUGGGCAAUAGUUUAGAGUAGUUUUAGAUUAAUUUUUUACUCUACCGCUCCCUCCCUUGAGAGGGUGGGGAUAUAUACUCUUUUCAAUGUAUAUGAAUGUUUUUGUUCCUUUUUUCUGUUAGUUCAUUUUGUACCUAGAUCUCCAUGGAUAUUUAGGUACAUGAUGAAAAUUAAGGUUCAUUCUAUGAAGAAAAUCUCCUCUUGGCCCCUUCCCUUGUUGCCUAUCUGGGCAAUGACUAGUGGUAUAGUUGUUUAGAUGGGUUUUUUUUAGCAGGGUGGUGGGGGAUUUCUGGGUUUACGGUUUUAAAAGUGUAUAUAAAUGUCUGCUGCAUGUUUUUUGUUUGCUUUUUUGUUUUUGUGGCUUGCUCUUUUACUUCAACCAGGUUUGUUUGUUUGUUUGUUUGUUUGGAUUUGUAGAUCUCAAAUGUAGUGCAGAGGCCCAGAUCCGGAGACAUGAUAAACCUUUCUUCCCUUCCCUUAUAGCCUGUGCACAAUUGUAGGGCUUGGUUUCUGUUUUUUGUUUUAGAGGUUAUUAAUGGGGAAUGGGCUUAUUAGAUAAGAUAGGUGGUUUUUUAAAUGUAUAUAAAUGUUUCUGCCUCUUUUUGGUGUUCACUUCGUUUUGAAUCUAGUCCUUCUCAUGACUAUUUAGGUACUUCAUGAAAGUUGCGAUUGAUUCUAUGAACAAUCUCCCCUACUCCCCUUCCCUCAUUGCCUGGUGGGCAGUGGUAGAAGAAUAGAUGUUUUGUUUCUUUUUUUGGAGGGGUGGGGGGUGGGGGGAGUCUGUGUGUGUGUGUGUGUGUGUGUGUGUGUGUGUGUGUGAAUUUUUUAAUGUAUAUAAAUGUUUGCUACAUUUUGUGUGUUAUUUCACUUAGUAACCAGUCCUUUGCUGGGACUUGUAAGUACAUAAUGAAACACGGAGGUCCAUACGUAUGAUAAAUCUCCUCUGCUUCCCUUCCCUCACUGCCUGCAUUGGCAAUAGUUUUAUAAUUUGGGGUGUUUUUUUUAGGGGGAGAGAUAAUUUGGGUGGGUAGUGGGGAAAGGAUAAGGAUAGCAUACAAACUUUUAAAAAAUGUAUAUAAAUGUUUUCGUAUUAAUUGAUUUUGUACCUACUCUUAGCAUGGAUGUAUAGGUACUGAAUGAAAAUCGAGGAUCAGUGUAUGACAAAUCUCCCCUUCUCCCCUUUCCCUUAUUGCCUGUGUUGGCAAUAGUGAGUAGAAUAGUUGUGUAUUGUUUAUUUACUUGGCUUUUUUCUUUUUGGAGGGGUUUCUAUUUUCGGCAGGGGAAUAUUCUUAAUACAUAUGAAUAUAUUUCCUUUCAUUUUGUAUUUAGUUCUUCGCAUGGCUAUCUAUGUAGGGACCUAAAGGAAAUUGAGUUUCAUAAAUUGACAGUUCACUUCUUCCUUCCCCACAUAUUUCCUCAUUUAUCAGUGGCUAGUAUAGUUGUUGUUCUGUGCUUAUUUUGUUUUAUUCUCUAGGAAAUAUGCCUUUAAACGUAUAAAUAUAUUUAUGCGCAUAUCUAAUCUGCUUCCCUCUUUUUUUUUCAUUAUUUUUCGUUAAUACUUAGUCCCUUGCAGGGCUGUGCAUGGAUCUAACAAAAAUAAAGUCCCACCAGAUCCCUGUCCUGUGACUUGAGAGGCAUUGGGGUGGUGUAACUAAUGGCUAACAAAUGUACAGCAAAUAAGAUGGGAGCAGACACUUGGACAUGGUUGAGUUGUGAAAGCUAAUCAGGGUCAGCAUUUCUUACAUUGAUUGAAACUGAAGGAAAGGGUGAGACGGGACCUGUACUGUGGAAAUUCCAGAAAGGCAAGAGGAUCAUACUAAGUAAAAAGUGUGUUUAACGUUCAUUGCUGAUUAAUCUUUUAGUAACUGGUAAGCCAGUAAAAGUGCUGCCUAGAACUCAUUUGAAGACCCUUGAGAGUAGCUUCUUUGGGGGGCUGGAAUUCUGAUUUAUUUGCAGAAGUCUCUUGCAGUUCUAUAGAUAGCAUAUUCUUGUGUAGCCAAUAAAAAUUAUUUUGACUUUUGGAAUGAACUUUUUGAGUUAUUGCAGUGGUUCUAGUGAAUAACAACAUGGGCCCAAAAAUCAUUCCCUUAAGAAUUGGGGAGCUAGCCCUCCUGUCUUUCAACACCCAUCUAUGGGAAGGCAAGUUGGUCCUUUCUUACCCAGAGCUCUUCUGUGUGGCUGCAUCUCUCCCUUCCAUUCUCCAUUAGCUGGACCAUUCUUCUUCUUCUUCUUCUUCUUCUUCUUCUUCUUCUUCUUCUUCUUUCUUCUUUCUUCUUUCUUCUUUCUUCUUCUUCGCCUGCAGUAUUAGAUGUUAUACUCAAGUACACUUAAACAUGUAAGCCGGUGUUGCCUCAUCAGCUCUAUGUUUUUGCAUGCAUUUCAUAUAUCCAGACAUGUGUGUUCGCUUUCUUGAAUCAUAUUGACUCUUCAUCCACCACAUGGUAAAUGUUAGGACUCCACAUUUGUCUGUAUCAAAGAAAAUGCAUGUGUAAAAUCCCUCACUCCCUCCCUGCCUCCCUUUCUUUCCUCCUUGCUUUUUUCCUUCAAGCUUCUGAGCAAACUUUGUUUCUAAUGCUGAAGGUUUGCUAUAUUAUUUUGUUCUAUUAUAUAUAUUUUUUAGAAACGUUGCUAGAUAGGACUCCUAGAACAUUUGCGAAGAGAUGUCAUUUACCAUAUCAAAUUCUCAGGUCCUAGUAUUGAAAUAUUAGCCUGUACUUUGCUUAUUUAUACCUGCUGCUGUAGAAAAAACAAAAGUUUGUUCAUGACACAUGUAAUUAUGAUCAUAAAUAAGAGAGAAAGGGACACCUUUUUGAAAUUAGUCAUAGUAGUCAUUAGUGAUAUCUCUGAGCAGUUCUUAAUUUGAAAUACUUCAAAGAAGUAAAGAUCAUGGAUUAGCUGAAUGAAAUGCUCCAGAAGUUGCACUGUGUAAACCAUCAGUACAAUAAUACACUUGUGUAUGUAUGUGUGUGUGUGUGUGUAUGUGUGUAUAUAUAUAUAUAUAUAUAUAUAUAUAUAUAUGAAAUGAGAAUUACAGCAUAAUUGGAGCAUUUGCAUUAAUGAGCAAACUCAAGCUGAGACAAACUUAGUCUCCUAGCCGUCUUGAUUAAACCCAAGUGUUCCACGUUGCUAUGAAGAGUAGUAGUCUCUUUCAAACACUUUGAAAAGUAAUUAUUUGGAAACUUGUAAAACUAUUACGUUUUUGUAUUUAGACACCUAUACGGAUCUUCACUUCUUUGAAUCUGAGCUUGUGGGUGGAAUUCUAAAUUUGUAUCAUAACCUGUCUUUUGUGGAAAAUUUUGAAAACAGUAUGUGUAAUAUAAUAUAUAUGCAAAUUGUGUUGUGUCACUUGUAAAGGGAAAAGGCUUAUUUUUCUUUAUACUUCUGAUAACUUGUUUUGCAUAUGACCAGCACUGACUGAAAGGCA
rnacentral:lncRNA from 1 species